UGGGGAAUUUUGGACAAUGGGGGAAACCCUGAUCCAGCCAUCCCGCGUGUGCGAUGAAGGCCUUCGGGUUGUAAAGCACUUUUGGCAGGAAAGAAACGUCAUGGGUUAAUACCCCGUGAAACUGACGGUACCUGCAGAAUAAGCACCGCCUAACUACGUGCCAGCACCCGCGGUAAUACGUAGGGUGCAAGCGUUAAUCGGAAUUACUGGGCGUAAAGCGUGCGCAGGCGGUUCGGAAAGAAGAUGUGAAAUCCCAGAGCUCAACUUUGGAACUGCAUUUUUAACUACCGGGCUAGAGUGUGUCAGAGGGAGGUGGAAUUCCGCGUGUAGCAGUGAAAUGCGUAGAUAUGCGGAGGAACACCGAUGGCGAAGGCAGCCUCCUGGGAUAACACUGACGCUCAUGCACGAAAGCGUGGGGAGCAAACAGG
rnacentral:rRNA from 1 species